rnacentral:rRNA from 1 species
CCUACGGGAGGCAGCAGUGGGGAAUAUUGCGCAAUGGGCGAAAGCCUGACGCAGCGACGCCGCGUGAGGGAUGAAGGCCUUCGGGUUGUAAACCUCUUUCAGCAGGGACGAAAUCAGACGGUACCUGCAGAAGAAGCACCGGCCAACUACGUGCCAGCAGCCGCGGUAAUACGUAGGGUGCAAGCGUUGUCCGGAAUUAUUGGGCGUAAAGAGCUCGUAGGCGGUUUGUCGCGUCGGCUGUGAAAACUCGGGGCUCAACCCCGAGCCUGCAGUCGAUACGGGCAGACUAGAGUGCUGUAGGGGAGACUGGAAUUCCUGGUGUAGCGGUGAAAUGCGCAGAUAUCAGGAGGAACACCGGUGGCGAAGGCGGGUCUCUGGGCAGUAACUGACGCUGAGGAGCGAAAGCGUGGGGAGCAAACAGGAUUAGAUACCCUGGUAGUCCACGCCGUAAACGGUGGGUGCUAGGUGUAGGUCGUAUUCCACGCGAUCUGUGCCGCNGCUACGCAUAAGCACCCGCCGUCGGGAGGUACGGCCGGCCGACGGACGUAAACGUAACUAAAGUAGUUAAGUUAGUACGGCGUUGAGACGNGCCGACGGACGACGACGAGGGAGGAGG